CGGUUUGGUCAGUCCUCCGGGAAAUCUGACGGCUCAACCGUUAGGCUUUCGGGGGAUACUGCCAGGCUUGGAACCGGGAGAGGUAAGAGGUACUACAGGGGUAGGAGUGAAAUCUUGUAAUCCCUGUGGGACCACCUGUGGCGAAGGCGUCUUACCAGAACGGGUUCGACGGUGAGGGACGAAAGCUGGGGGCACGAACCGGAUUAGAUACCCGGGUAGUCCCAGCCGUAAACGAUGCUCGCUAGGUGUCAGGCAUGGCGCGACCGAGUCUGGUGCCGCAGGGAAGCCGUGAAGCGAGCCACCUGGGAAGUACGCUCGCAAGAGUGAAACUUAAAGGAAUUGGCGGGGGAGCACCACAAGGGGUGAAGCCUGCGGUUUAAUUGGACUCAACGCCGGAAAACUCACCUGGGGCGACAGCAAUAUGUAGGUCAGGCUGAAGGUCUUACCUGAAUCGCUGAGAGGAGGUGCAUGGCCGUCGUCAGUUCGUACUGUGAAGCAUCCUGUUAAGUCAGGCAACGAGCGAGACCCGUGCCCACUGUUGCCAGCAUAUCCUUCGGGAUGAUGGGUACUCUGUGGGGACCGCCGCUGCUAAAGCGGAGGAAGGUGCGGGCUACGGUAGGUCCGCAUGCCCAAGG
rnacentral:rRNA from 1 species